rnacentral:rRNA from 1 species
UUAACAUGCAAGUCGAGCUCAGCACGAGGUAGCAAUACUUUGGUGGCGACCGGCGCACGGGUGAGUAACGCGUAUGCAACCUACCCUGUACUGGGGGAUAGCCCGGAGAAAUUCGGAUUAAUACCCCAUAAUUAUAUUGAAAGGCAUCUUUUAAUAUUUAAAGUUUCGACGGUACGGGAUGGGCAUGCGUGACAUUAGCUAGUUGGUAGGGUAACGGCCUACCAAGGCUACGAUGUCUAGGGGUCCUGAGAGGGUGAUCCCCCACACUGGUACUGAGACACGGACCAGACUCCUACGGGAGGCAGCAGUGAGGAAUAUUGGUCAAUGGGCGCAACCUGAACCAGCCAUCCCGCGUGCAGGAAGAAGGCGCUAUGUGUCGUAAACUGCUUUUCCAGGGGAAGAAAACCCGAUACGUGUAUUGGCUUGCCGGUACCCUGGGAAUAAGCACCGGCUAACUACGUGCCAGCAGCCGCGGUAAUACGUAGGGUGCGAGCGUUAAUCGGAAUUACUGGGCGUAAAGCGUGCGCAGGCGGUUUGUUAAGUCUGAUGUGAAAGCCCCGGGCUCAACCUGGGAACGGCAUUGGAAACUGGCAAGCUAGAGUGUGGCAGAGGGGGGUGGAAUUCCGCGUGUAGCAGUGAAAUGCGUAGAGAUGCGGAGGAACACCGAUGGCGAAGGCAGCCCCCUGGGCCAACACUGACGCUCAGGCACGAAAGCGUGGGGAGCAAACAGGAUUAGAUACCCUGGUAGUCCACGCCCUAAACGAUGUCAACUGGGUGUUGGGGAAGCGAUUCCUUGGUACCGUAGCUAACGCGUGAAGUUGACCGCCUGGGGAGUACGGCCGCAAGGUUAAAACUCAAAGGAAUUGACGGGGGACCCGCACAAGCGGUGGAUGAUGUGGAUUAAUUCGAUGCAACGCGAACAACCUUACCUACCCUUGACAUGUCCGGAACCCUGCUGAGAGGUGGGGGUGCCCGAAAGGGAAUCGGAACACAGGUGCUGCAUGGCUGUCGUCAGCUCGUGUCGUGAGAUGUUGGGUUAAGUCCCGCAACGAGCGCAACCCUUGUCCCUAGUUGCUACGCAAGGGCACUCUAGGGAGACUGCCGGUGACAAACCGGAGGAAGGUGGGGAUGACGUCAAGUCAGCAUGCCCCUUAUAUCCAGGGCUACAAACGUGCUACAAUGGCCGGUACAAAGGGCUGCAAGACCGCGAGGUGGAGCGAAUCCCAAAAAGCCGGUCCCAGUUCGGAUUGGAGGCUGAAACUCGCCUCCAUGAAGUCGGGGUUGCUAGUAAUCGCGGAUCAGCAAUGCCGCGGUGAAUACGUUCCCGGGCCUUGUACACACCGCCCGU